rnacentral:lncRNA from 1 species
CAAAAAUGAGAAUUAUACCGAACCAUUGAAGCAAGCAGGCUUCCGCAAUUUUUGUGUGGCUUACUUAAUAGUUUAUACUAUAAAUUAAUGAUCAAUCCUUCCCACCUUCAGAUAUGUAUGCAAUACUGGUUUCUGUCAAUUUGAAACAAUUGAAAACCAAAUCCUUUUCAACCCUAAAUCUUUCCCCUACCCCCCCCCCCCCCCCCCCCAAAAAAAAAAAAAAAAAAAAAAACCACCGGAGCCGCUGACACUACCUGACAGGCCCACCAGCGGUUUUCCGGGGAAUUAAAAUAAGCGUUUAGGUUAUUGGUUUGUGGCCCUUUUUUUAUACUUAUAUCAAAUACCUUUCUUGAUUUUUUUCUUAAAACUUAUAAGUUUAAGUUUAUGAUUUUUGUUUGUUGCAGACUUAAACUUUUAAUUAGUGCCUUAUCACUCAUGGUUUCAUGUUCAAAAUUUAUUUACAGGCUUUUGUUUGUUUUCGAAAGCAUUAUAAAAAGCUUCAAUUUAUGGUGGCUCUAAUUUUCAGUUUACUUUGAGGUCGCAAUGAACUACGCAAGCAGGUACUUCACUUGACCGUUAGCACCUUGAAAUCAUUUUAUGUUCGGGUAUGAGUUGAUUUAGGAUUCUUAGAUUUGUUGUUGGAUUGUUGAGUAGUUAUAAUAUUGUUGUUGAAUUGUUACAUAAGUAGUUGGAUUUUUGCUGGUAAUUUUUUUAUUUUUAUUUAUUUAUUUAUUUUAAAUCGUGGGGAUACUGAAGUGUUUUGCUUAUGCUCAUAGAUCUUACAUCGUCGGGUACAACUAUAAUGGGUAAUGUUAUAUUAGACUUUUCUUGUUAUAUAUGAAUUUUCUUCGCACGUUAAAUUUUAAAUAUUUUUUUCCCUUCCGUAAAGAUAAUUCCUAGCUCUGCCCCCGUGAACUAUCAGUUCUUAUGCUAAGAUUUGAAAUUUGAGGCCUGCACUACACUCUUGAAACCUGAAUGUGUUGCAGUCAGAUUAUGUUCUUUACGUUUUGUUUUGAAUUUUAUGUUUUAAACUUUGAUACUGCUCCCUUGGGCACAAAGGCAUUAUCAGGCGUAAGAUCUUGAACCCAGUGUAGAAAUUCAAAUAUGAAUGAAUGACGCUAUAACUUGACAUCAGCUCAUCUUUCACUUUUCAGUUUGGUGAACGGAUCAUAUUAACAGAUAAUGGUCAUAGAUACUCAGAGAAAAUAGAUCUCAAUGCAUUCAUAUGUAGUUCCCCACCAGAAAGUUGCAAAGUGUAACUUUUUUCAUACUUGGUAGUGCAAAAAACUUGUGACAACUUUUCUGAGAACCAAAAUUAUCAAGAUAAGCACAGUUUUACAAAAUUCUAGCUGAAAGGAUGGCUAAGUUUCUUCAAGAGGUCAACACUGAUAAGAAAAAACGACGACAUAAAGCUAGCAAAAGAAAAUUACAAAGCCAUUCGCAUUGUGUAGCGCUUAUUACUAGAGCUAGAAUCGAGUUGGAGCUGAUUUGGUUAAUUUGUACAUAGUCUUUUUAGUUAGUUGUUAUGAAAGAAUAGUUAGUUAGUGGAUGGAUGGAUGACAGCAGGCAUAAUUGAAUUCAUUCUAAUGUGCUAUUUAUAUAGGUGAUGUAUAGACAAUUUUUGAUUGAUUGGAAUACAAUUCAAUUCUUUACAUUUCCAUUUCUAAAUUCAAUAUGGUAUCCGAGCAAUAGACUUUUCCACAUUUCUAAUUUUGAAUCAUUUGAUUGUUGAUUCCUAUAUCAAAUGGAAUCACAACAAUAUGAUAAUUCUAGAACAUCAGUGCACAAAUCAGCCAUUGAUGAUCCUUCAAGUCUGUACUUCGUUCACCAUUCUAAUAGUCCAGGAUUGAUCUUGGAGUCGCAGCAGCUGAUUGGAGAUAACUAUGCCUCUUGGAGCCGUAAUAUGACAAUCGCACCAUCGGUGAAGAAUGAGGCUGGAUUUGUUGAUGGAUCAACCUGAAGGUGUAAAUUCUGAUUUGCUCAACUCAUGGAUUCGUUAUUUCCUGGAUUCUGAAUUCCAUUUCUCCCAGUGUGAUAUAUGUGGUCACGGUGUAUGAAAUCUGAACAGAUCUUAGAGAUAGAUUCCAAUGGAAAAAUAGACCAGGUAUCUUCCAAUUGAGAAGAGAUAUGAUGAAUCUGGUUUAAGAUCUGAACAAUGCAAGUGUUUACUUCACUAAAUUAAAGCUAUUUAGGAGGAAUUGAGCAAUUAUUGCCAUACCUGCGAUUGUGAAAAGGCACCUGUGGUGGCAUAAAGGAAUUGAACAAUCAUUAUCAGAUGGAAUACACUAUGUCAUUCCUAAUGAGGUUACAUGAUUUUCUCGCAAAUUAGAGGGCAGAUACUAUUUAUGGAUACUUUACAUCGAAUUAACAAAGUGUUUCUGAUUUCACAAGAAGAAGAUUGGAACUUAAAUAGCAUCUGAAAUUGAUCAAAAUAGAGGUACAGCCUUUGCUUUUAAGAUUGAUAAUAGCAAAGGAAUUCAUCCUAGAUCACACAACAAUGCUUCAAGUUUGGAAAUAUUGUAAGUGGUAAGAAGAAGGAAAGACCUUAUUGCACUAAUUGCAAUUUCCAUGGCCAUUCCAUUGACAAGUGCUACAAAAUACAUGGCUAUCCACCUAGCUAUAAGCAAAGAUCAAGAGAGGAUUCAGUCAAUCAGAUUUCAACCACUACAUCAAUUCCUCAAAUUGAAAAUGGGCAACAUAAUCAAUAGCCAGGAUUUGGAAGUUUUGUGCAAAACCUGAACUCUGAUCAAUACCAACAACUAAUUCCCAUGCUUUCUUCUCACUUGGCUUCAAGUUCCAACGUAACAUCCUUAGAUCAUUGAGACAACAAUAUCAUAUCAUAUGCUACUGGUAUAUGUUACUCUAUAUCAGUAAAUCAUUUUUUUUUUAUCCAAGGAGAGUUGGAUAGUGGAUUCAGGUGUAACUCGGCAUGUCUGCUCCAUUGCCCCUGCUUUUUUAUCAUUGAGAAUUCUGGAUAAUUCUGCUGAUAUUUUACCUAAUAACACACAUAUACCUAUUUAAUUAUUUUUUUUUAUAAGUAAUCAAAUAUUUUAUUAAUCAUGGAUAAUACACAGGAAGCGUAUUAUCAAUUAAUACAAGCCAAAAAGACAUGAAAUUAGGCAACCCGUCUAUGCAAGUAAUAGCUAUAGCAUUAACCAAAUAUACAGUGUCAGGUAAAAUAAUUCUUUAAUCUGCUCUGUUGUCCGUGUAUUAUAUUUACCCUCUUGCUAAACAAAGAAAGUUGUCGUUUGAAUCAUAUAAUCAUUUUUCAAAGAAUCCAUUUGACCUUUACAUUGUGACAUUUGGGGUUCAUAUCGAGUCCCAUCCUACAGGACAAAGAUUUUUCCUGACAUUAGUAGAUGAUUGUUGAAGAUUCACAUGGUUGUUUUUGUUGAAACGAAAAUCAGAUGCUGCAAAUUUUGUUCCCAGAUUAUUUAAUAUGAUAGCAACUCAAUUCAAUGCCAAAAUAAAAACCUUCCGAUCUUGUCAGAUGAAUUCAGAAUUCAAGAGAAAGAAAUAGCUUUUGAGAUUUCUUGAAAAACCGUCUCUCUUACAUGCUGCCCUCUUCUCAAUAUAUAUACAGAUAGAAAUGGCUUUACAAGGAAAUUAUGUCCUACAUAUGCUAUACAAUCCCUAAGAAUAUAAAAAUAUAAAUAUGAAAAGAAAUCUUCAUUAUUAUAUACGGUAACACCCUCCCCUCAAAUUGAUGCGGGGAAGUCAACCAUCAACAAUUUGCUAACAAGAAAUUGAUGUCGUUGUCGAAUCAAUGCCUUGGUGAAGAUAUCGGCCACUUGAAGAUCAGAAGAAAUGUAAGGAAGAGAUAUAACCGGACCCUCUAAUGUAUCGCGGAUAAAAUGACAAUUAACUUCAAUGUGCUUGGUGCGCUCAUGAAAGACAGGAUUAUUGGCAAUUUGGAUAGCACUCGUGUUAUCAGCUUGAAGAGGAGUAGAAUUAGCUUGAGGAAAACCCAGCUCCUCCAGAAUACCGCGUAACCAUAUAAUUUCUGGGCAAGCCAUAGACAUUGCAUGAUACUCAGCCUCAGUAGAGGACUUAGAGACACGAUCUUGUUUCUUACAUUUCCAAGAGAUCAAUGCAUCACCAAAAAACACAUAUCAGCCCGUAGUAGAACGACGUGUAUCCGGGUAACCAGCCCAAUCAGCAUCACUAUAAGCAACAAGCUGAAGAGAUGACCCUGUAAGAACAACCCACGAGAAGGUGACCUGCAAAGAUAGCGAAUAAUGCGGCGGACUGCAGCAAGGUGAAGAUGCCGACGAGAAGACAUAAACUGGCUCACUUGAUGGACGGCAUAUGAGAUGUCCGGUCUAGUAGUAGUCAGAUAGAUAAGACUCCCAACCAAGCGACGAUAGAGUGUGGGAUCAUCCAGGAGAUCUCCUUCAUCUCUUCUGAAUUUCACAUUUACCUCCAUAGGAGUAUCAACUGAAGAGGUAUCCUCCAAACUAGCUAAUGUGAUAAGAUCUUGAGUAUACUUAUGCUGGUUUAAGAAAAUGCCAUUGUCUCGAUGAUGAACUUCCAGCCCUAAGAAGUGAGGCGAUCCAUGUCCUUAUAUGGAAAGUGGCAUGCAACAGAUUUUGAAGUUUAAUAAUCACACUGCAGUCAGUGCCAGUAAUAAUUAUAUCAUCCACAUACACCAAAAGGAGAACAAUGCCUGCCGCAGACUUGUGGAAGAAGAGAGAAGAAUCAAACUGACUUUGUGUAAAAUCGAAUGUAAGAAGCGUACCACGAAAUUUUUCAAACCAUGCUCGGGGGCUUGCUUGAGCCCAUACAAAGAUUGCCAUAACUUACAAACAUCAUGAGCAGAGGUAGCAGGUAAACCAGGAGGAAGCUUCAUAUAAAUCUCCUCUUGAAGAUCACCAUGAAGAAAAUCGUUCUUCACAUCCAUUUGAUGUAGUUGCCAUGAUUGGGAGGCAGCAAUAGCUAAUAUUGUUCAAACCGUGAUCAUUUUGGCAACAGCGGCAAAUGUUUCCUCAUAGUCAACCCUAUAUUCCUGUUUGUUACCCAGAGCUACAAGCUUUGUAUUGAUCCAAAGAACCAUCAGGUCGAAAUUUGACUGAGAAUACCCAUUUACUCCCAAUAGGCUUGACCGUAGAAGGACAAGGAACAAUGUCCCAAGUAUGAUUCUCCUCAAGGCAUGAAGUUCUGCUUGCAUUGCAUCCCGCCAAUACUUAUGUUCCAUAGCCUGUUUGUAGCAAGAGGGAAUAGAAAUAGAUGAUAAAGUAGUUACGAGGGAAAGAGGAGGAGAGAAACCAUACCGAUCAAGAGGUCGAGUAGAUCGACGAAGAUUGGUGACAGCUGUAGCAGGAUCAGGUGCCGAGUUGAGAUCACGAGGGGGCAUAGAGGGAGUAUGAACAGACUCAUGUGGACGACGGCAGGCAUACACAAAACCAUGUUUAAACCUUUCCACAACCGGAGGAGAAUCAGAAAAACUAAGCAAAGGAGAGAAUGUUACAGAUGGGGGCUCGACAUGAGAGUGAAAGAAAUAUUGAUUUUCAAAGAAAACCAAAUUUCUAGAGACACGAAUACGACGAGCAUUAGGAUCAUAACAAACAUAACCUUUUUGUGAGGUAGCAUAGCCAAGAAAAGCACAUUUAACAAAUUGAGCAGUAAGUUUAUGUCGUUUAUGAGCAGGGAGAUGCACAAAGCAGACACAAACAAAUGUACAAAGAUUAAAGUAUGAUGGAGGAUGACCAAACAACCUAAAGUAAGGUGAAUCAUGAUUUAAUGUAGGAGAUGGUAAACGAUUAAUUAGAAAAACAGCAGUAGAUGGUGCUUCACACCAAAAACGAGGAGGAACGGAUGAUUCAAGUAAAAGAGUUCGUACCACAUCCAGAAGAUGGCGAUUUUUCCAUUCAGCAACACUAUUCUGUUGCGGUGUCGAAGGACAAGAACGCUAAGACAUGAUUCCUUUGCUUUGGAGAAAGGCUUGAAACUCAUUAGACAUAUACUCUCCCCCAGAGUCAGAUCGUAGGAUUUUGAUAUUGGUAGAAAACUGAUUCUCAAGAAGAGCAAGAAAGCGCUUAAAGCAUAAGAAAACUUCAGACUUAGCCCUUAAAAAAUAAACCCAAGUGAAGCGACUAAAGUCAUCAAUGAAAGCAACAAAAUACUUGUAGUGUGCAUGAAAAACAACAAGGGCAAUCCCCCAAACAUCACUAUGGAUAGUAUCAAAAUAUUGUGAGGCAUGAGAUGCAUGAGAAGGAAACGGUAGAACUUUACUUUUGCCAAUUUUGCAAGUUGUACAAUCAAACGAAAGAUUAAGUAAAGAACUUGUUUUAUUUCCCAAUAAACUAGAAUUAAAUAAAGUACGAAGUACAUCCGAGUUUGGGUGGCCUAAACGUUUGUGCCACAUUUUAUUUCUUGUAGUAUCAGUACUAUAUGCUAAGGAAAGUAAAGGAAAACGGGGGAUGACUGGGGAAGGAGAAAUAUGUAAAGGGAAUAGCCGUCCCACUUUAGGCCCCUUCGUGAUCAUCUUCCCGGACACUGGAUCCUGCACAACAUAGCCAAAGUGAGAAAAAUGGACAUUAUAAUUGUUGUCAACCAAUUGACACAGAGAUAAGAUUCGUAGAAAGGGUAGGAGAUACAAAAACAUCAGGUAAGGACGGGGAAAGAUCACCAAUAGCACUUAUAGGCAGAGAAUUGCCAUCGGCGGUAUUAAUUUUCAUAUUGCCAUCAUAUUUUUUGACAUUGGAAAGGAGAUCAGUUGUAUUAGUCAUAUGAUUGGAGGCACGGAGUAAAAAAACCAUGGCUUAGAAGAAGUGGAGUGAUUACCCGAGAUUCCAAAAGCAGAAAAAGUCAUCUGUUGUACCAUUUCAGGAGUGAGUGUGUUCGAAUUUGGACUAGGAGCAACUUGCGAGGCAGUAUGCAAUGUAGUAGAACUAGAGGCACUAGUGGAGGCAUGAUAUGCUGUGCUGUGUUUCCUUUCAGGGCGAAUGUGACAAGCUGAGAGAAUAUGACGCGGUUUCUUGCAGUAAUGACAAGAUUUCUUAGGACAAUCUCGAGCAAGGUGACCAAAAACUUUACAGUUAUAGCACUGGACAUUACGCAUGUCCCGAUUCCUAUUCCUCCCUUGUGCUGCAUAAGCUACAGGAAUCGGAGUGUCGACAGCAAUCCUUUGUUCCAAGGUUGCUUGAGUUAAGAUACGUUGUUCUUCACGGAGAAGUUCACUCAAACAUACAUCCAAAGAUGGUACCGGAUGACGAUUCAUCAGAUUAGAACGUGCAAUCUGGAAAUCUGAACGCAGCUUCAUCAAAAAUUGGUCUCUCUUACUUGUUUCAUGCACUUUUUGAACAGCAGAAAGAGCUGCAGCUAGAACAUUAGCAUAAACAAUAUCCGAAUAAUCAGUCCAGAGAUUUUGGAAACUCGAAUAAUAAUCCUCAAUUGAAAGAUUUCCUUGGGUAAAAUUAGCCAUCUCAUAUUCCAAUUGGAAACGCCGAGCCGUAUUGUCCUGCUUGUAAAUCUUGCUCAAGUAAUUCCACAUGUCAUCGGCUGUUUUAUAAGGUCUCAGAUUGAGUACAAUGUGAGGCUCAACCGAGCUAAGAAUUCAUGUCAUAACCUGAGCAUCCUUUAUUUCUCACUUAGACAAAGCAUCGACAUCUGUAGGGGCGGGAUCACUUCCAUCAAUAUGACCCCAUAACUCAUUUCCUUUGACAAAUAAUUGAAAAUGAAACUCCCAAGCAGAAUAAUUCUUUCCAGUAAUACGAAUGUGAAACGAAUUCGAAGACAUGAUGAAAUAAAUAGCCCACUAUAUUAUUACUGAACAAAUAAAAUACUCUUGCAAGAAGAAAGAUUAUUAAAUUCAAACAAUGCAACGACUGUAGCCUUAAAGCCAAACGGUAAAUUGACCCACUAACCAGAGGAACCCUCGCCGGAAGAGGAGACCUAAACAACUGAGAGAGUCGAUUGGGAAGAGAAGACUAGAAAUCCGACAGAACCCAUCACAAACAGAGACCCACUGGAAUCUGAAUAGGAAGAACUGAACAGUGUCGCCAGAACUAGAACCCGGCAGAACAAGGACCCAAAAAGGCACACCAAAAGUCGGCGAUCAGAAGCGCCGAAUCACACACUAAGAAUCGAUGACCAGAAGCGCCAAAUCGUACACUAAGAAUCGACGACCAGAAGCGCCGAAUCGCACAUCAAGAAUCGGCGACCAGAAUCGCCGAACACAACCCAGAUGGAGUCGCCCAAGGAGAAUCGACAGCAAGAAUCAGGUACCAAGCUCUGAUACCAUGUCAGAUGAAUUCUGAAUUCAAUAGAAAGAAAUAGCUUUUGAGAUUUCUUGAAAAACUGUCUCUCUUACAUGCUGCCCUCUUCUCAAUAUAUAUACAGAUAGAAAUGGCUUUACAAGGAAAUUAUAUCCUAUAUAUGCUAUACAAUCCCUAAGAAUAUAAAAAUAUAAAUAUGGAAAGAAAUCUUCAUUAUUAUAUUCGGUAACAGAUCUGAUAAAAACCUUCAGAUUUUUUUAUUUAUUAUUUAUUAUUUAUUAUUAUUAUUUUUUUUUUUUUUUUGGCUAUGAAUGGGGUUUUACACCAAUUUAGUUGUGUUGAGAGAUCAACAAAAUUCAGUUGUAGAACACAAACACCCACAUCUCUUAAAUGUGGCAAGGGUACUAUAUUUUCAAUCACAAGUUCUUGUCAAAUUCUGGUCUGACUGUAUGUUGGCAACUACUUUUUUGAUCAAUGUAACACCACCUCUACUUUUGAAUCACAAAACACCAUAUGAGAUCCUAUAUAAGAAAGCUGCAAAUUACUCCUCAUUCAGGGUAUUUGGUUGUUUGGCUUUUGUUUCAACCUUGACUGCUCACAGAAACAAGUUCCAGCCAAGAGCUCGAUUUUGUGUUUUCUUAGGAAAUCCCUCUGGUGUUAAAGGCUAUAAGUUGUAUGAUGUAGCUUCUAAACACAUCUUAUCUUGGGAUGUGGUUAUCCAUAAGACAUAUUCCCUUUUGAUACAGUGGUGGAGGCUGAUCACCUAGUUGAUCCCUUUCUUGAUUUAGUGCUGCUAGUACCUUCACUAUCCUUUCAUUAAGAAAGCAGUGACAGAUAUCAUGAUAGCUCCAUAUCAUCAGUGCCUCAGGACCUUCGUCUUCAAUAAUUCAACAUAUUGAUGAUGUAGUUGAUCGUUCCAAUGAUCAGCAAUUGAGUGUUCCUCCAACUGUUGAUAAUCAAAAAUCACAGAGGGUCAUUUGACCUCCUACAUACCUUAAGGAUUUUUAUUGCAGCUUGUUGUCUCAAGAUUCCCAGCCAUCUCCGCAAUUGCCUUAUCACAUUGAUCAGUAUGCAUCCUAUGGAAAAUUAGCCCCUAUAUACGGACAUCUGGUCCUAAAUGUUUCAUCUCACCAUGAACCACAGUUCUAUCAUUAGGUUGUUAAUGAUCCUCAAUGGCGUGCAGCCAUGAAGCUCGAGUUGGAAGCCAUGGAGCAAAAUAAGUCAUGGUCUGUGGUUGCUUUGCCAAUUGGUAAACAUUCAGUUGGUUGUCGAUGGAUAUAUAAGAUCAAGUAUAAAUUAAAUGGAACCACUGAUAGACGUAAAAGUUGUUUAGUUGCAAAAUGAUACACUCAACAGAAAGGGCUUGAUUAUUUUGAUACUCUCUCUAGUGGCGAAGAUAGUCACUGUCAAAUUACAAUUGGCACUUUUAGGAUACAACAAAUGGCACUUGGUGCAAUUGGAUGUUAACAAUGCAUUUUUGAAUAGGGACUUAUUUAAGGAAGUGUACAUGGAUUAGUCUCUUGGUUAUGAGGUUCCCAACAACGUGAAUCAUUUGGAGAGAUUGGUGUGCAAACGACACAAGUCCAUAUAUGGACUCAAACAGGCAUCACGCUAAUGGAACUCAAAAUUCUCCCAAGCACUGAUUGAAUUUGGCUUUGUCUAGUCAAAAGCUGAUUAUUCCUUGUUUAUCGAAGGUCAGGGAAAUCAAUUUGUAGCCUUAUUGGUGUAUAUGGAUGACAGUCAUCACUGGUCCUAGUAUCUAAGCUAGAGAUUUGUUAAAAGGUUUCCUACACACUCAAUUUAAGCUAAAGGAUUUGGGAGUGUUUUAAGUAUUUUAUGGGGAUUGAAAUAGCCUAUUCUACAGCUGGUAUUGUCAUUUCCCAAAGGCAUUACGCUUUACAAUUGCUUGAGGAUACAGGCUAUCUAAACUGCAAACCAGUUGAUACCCUAUGGAUCCCAAGUCACAUCUCAGUUUACAUGAAGGUGAUCUCUUAUCAGAUGCAUCCCAAUACAGAAGAUUGAUUGGAAGGUUAAUCUAUUUGACAUUGUCCAGACCUAAUAUCACUUAUGCAGUCCACAAGCCAAGCUAAUUCCUUUCAUUUGCUUCGUUGUCUAACGAAAAGCCCUGGCCAAGGCAUAUUUUCUCAGCUUCUAAUGCCAAUAAUGGUUCACAUCUCAAACUUCAAGCUUUCUCAGGUGCAGAUUGGGGCUCUUGUGUUGACACAAGGAAAUCCAAAACAGGUUUUUGCAUCUUCAUUGGGGAUUCCAUGAUCUCUUGGAAAUCUAAAAGACAGGCAACCAUGUCUAGAUCAUUAGCUAAAGAAGAAUAUUGAGUUGUAGUUGCCACCGUCUGUGAAAUUGUUUGGAUUAAUCAAUAGCUAAAGGAUUUUCAGAUGAAUAUCAACUCUCCAGCCAUUCUCUUUUGUGAUAAUCAAGCUUCAAUUCAGAUUGCAUAUAAUCUUAUCCUUCACGAUCUAAUGUACGAUAAUCACAUCAGUCACCACUGGAAAAUUUCUGUUUAUUGGAUUAUAUCUAUCACCGCUUACACAAUUCCUUCUCUUUUGUGGAGUAAUGUUGUAAUAGAUAAAGCGACGUCGUUUACAUGCUGACAUUUUUUUUAUUUUUAUUUGUUAAUUACUUUUAUUUACAUGGGACCAAACCGCGACAAUUUUAAAAUUUAAAAUAAAGAAUGGGCAUUUACUCCUCCAGUAGAAAGCUUUCUCAAGUCCAUUUUUCUAUAGAUUCUGCAGCUGAUUUUUCAUUCCGUCGAGGUAAAAUUUUGGGUAUUUGAAUUCAUAUAUAUUUUUUAAUUUGUCCAUGAUUGAUAAAUGCAUGGAAUACAAUUAUGGUAAUAAAGGAAACUAAAUUUUUGUCAAUGGUAAAGUUCAAUCUCGUAUAAUACUGCACAGUAAAGAUCUCCUUGAUGCACACAAAUGGAAAAAUGAGCAUUUGAUUAUGUAUAUGUUCAAUAAUUUUGUAGAAAUAUGUUGUGAUGGGGUUGCCUGCAAGCUGUUUGUUCAAAUGUCUGAACGAAAAAUUAAUCUUUAAAUCAGUUACUCUUGUACAAUCUUCAGUUCAGCAGGCAGCUGCACAUAUUUGUGUGUGCGCAUGUGUGUGAGUGAACAAGAGUGUGUAUCAGAGCAAGAGCGGUCAGUAAUGUUCUGCUUGUCGUUGCAGGAGGAUCAGUAUGUAAGAUGGAUCCCGAAGAAACUUUACAGUCUUUGAAAGACAUUGUGCCAGCAGCACAGAACAAUAUAAACACCAAAUUCAUAGUAUUGGAUAAAGACAGGGUAACAUUAGAAGGGCAGCACAAGACAUGUUUGGCACUGGUGGCAGACGAGACUGCAGCAGUGCACUUCCAGUUGUGGGGUGAUGAGUGUGAUGCAUUUGAGCCCGGUGACAUUAUUCUUUUAGCCAAUGGCAUAUUUUCAUACAACCGGAACAAUCUUGUUUUGAGGGCGGGCAAACGAGGGAAGGUGGAGAAAGUGGGUGAAUUCACUAUGACUUUUGUGGAGACCCCAAAUAUGAGUGAGAUACACUGGGUUCCUGAUUCGAUUAAUUCUAAGAAGUAUGUGCAGGAGGCUGUGAUUUCUCCCCACUCCCGCAUAUUCCCCCCAAUGCAUUGAAUGUCUAUCCUAUUAAUUAUUUAUAUUUUCGUGUUUUCUGUUGUUACGGUUGGUAAAAGAUUUGGCAGAGGGGUAGAAGGGGAGAGAGGGUAAGAUCAUUAAAGAUUCGCUCACUCAAUUGCUGCUAGUUUGUAUAUUUUGAUCUUCUUCGCAUGUAUUCCUUCAAUUUAUUACGUGUUCAAUUUCCAAUAUAUUUCAUUUGUGCUUUUAUC